UUCCGGUUGAUCCUGCCGGACCUGACUGCUAUCGGAUUGAUACUAAGCCAUGCGAGUCUUUGUAGUAAUACAAGGCAGACGGCUCAGUAACACGCAGUCAACCUACCCUAUGGACAAGAAUAAUCUCGGGAAACUGGGCAUAAUUCUUGAUAGAUCAUAAUGCCUGGAAUGGUUUAUGGUUAAAAUGAUUCGUCGCCAUAGGAUGGGACUGCGGCCUAUCAGCUUGUUGGUGAGGUAAUGGCCCACCAAGGCGAUUACAGGUACGGGCUCUGAGAGGAGAAGCCCGGAGAUGGGUACUGAGACACGGACCCAGGCCCUAUGGGGCGCAGCAGGCGAGAAAACUUUGCAAUGUGCGAAAGCACGACAAGGUUAAUCCGAGUGAUUUCUGCUAAAGAAAUCUUUUGCCAGUCAUAAAACCACUGGUGAAUAAGGGGUGGGCAAGUUCUGGUGUCAGCCGCCGCGGUAAAACCAGCACCUCAAGUGGUCAGGAUGAUUAUUGGGCCUAAAGCAUCCGUAGCCGGCUUUGUUAGUUUUCGGUUAAAUCCAUGUGCUCAACGCAUGGGCUGCCGAAAAUACUGCAUGGCUAGGGAGUGGGAGAGGUAGACGGUACUCAGUAGGAAGGGGUAAAAUCCUUUGAUCUAUUGAUGACCACCUGUGGCGAAGGCGGUCUACCAGAACACGUUCGACGGUGAGGGAUGAAAGCUGGGGGAGCAAACCGGAUUAGAUACCCGGGUAGUCCCAGCUGUAAACGAUGCAGACUCGAUGAUGCAUUGGCAUAAUAGCCAGUGCAGUGUCGCAGGGAAGCCGUUAAGUCUGCCGCCUGGGAAGUACGUACGCAAGUAUGAAACUUAAAGGAAUUGGCGGGGGAGCACCACAAGGGGUGAAGCCUGCGGUUCAAUUGGAGUCAACGCCGGAA
rnacentral:rRNA from 1 species